rfam:Cavia porcellus supercont2_25 genomic scaffold, whole genome shotgun sequence.
GGGGAUUUAGCUCAGCGGCAUAAGCGCCUGUCUUACAAGCAGGCAAUCAUGAAUUCAAUCCCUG